UACAGAGGUCUCAAGCGUUGUUCGGAUUCAUUGGGCGUAAAGGGUGCGUAGGCGGCGCGGUAAGUCGGGUGUGAAAUCUUGGAGCUUAACUCCGAAACUGCAUUCGAUACGGGCUGGCUAGAGGUAGGUAGGGGAGAACGGAAUUCCUGGUGUAGCGGUGAAAUGCGCAGAUAUCUGGAGGAACACCGGUGGCGAAGGCGGCAUCCUGGACCACGACUGACGCUGAAUAGCGAAAGCCAGGGGAGCAAACGGG
rnacentral:rRNA from 1 species